UGCCAGCCGCCGCGGUAAUACGAAGGUCCCGAGCGUUGUUCGGAAUCACUGGGCGUAAAGGGAGCGUAGGCUGCGCGGUAAGUCAGAUGUGAAAUCCCGGGGCUCAACCCCGGAACUGCAUCCGAUACUGCCGCGCUAGAGUAAUGGAGAGGUAACUGGAAUUCUCGGUGUAGCAGUGAAAUGCGUGGAUAUCGAGAGGAAGACCAAUGGCGAAAGCAGGUUACUGGACAUUUACUGACGCUGAGGCUCGAAGGCUAGGGUAGCGAAAGGGAUUAGAUA
rnacentral:rRNA from 1 species